CUUCCAGUAGCACCUUAGAGACCAACUAAGUUUGUCAUUGGUAUGAGCUUUCGUGUGCUUAGUUGGUCUCUAAGGUGCCACUGGAAG